GACGAACGCUGGCGGCGUGCUUAACACAUGCAAGUCGAACGGAAAGGCCUCUUUCGGGGGGUACUCGAGUGGCGGACGGGUGAGUAACACGUGAGUAACCUGCCCUUGACUUUGGGAUAACUUCAGGAAACUGGGGCUAAUACCGGAUAGGAGCUCCUGCUGCAUGGUGGGGGUUGGAAAGUUUCGGCGGUUGGGGAUGGACUCGCGGCUUAUCAGCUUGUUGGUGGGGUAGUGGCUUACCAAGGCUUUGACGGGUAGCCGGCCUGAGAGGGUGACCGGCCACAUUGGGACUGAGAUACGGCCCAGACUCCUACGGGAGGCAGCAGUGGGGAAUAUUGCACAAUGGGUGGAAGCCUGAUGCAGCAACGCCGUGUGCGGGAUGACGGCCUUCGGGUUGUAAACCGCUUUCGCUCAUGACGAAGCUUUGUGUGACGGUAGUGGGUAAAGAAGCACCGGCUAACUACGUG
rnacentral:rRNA from 1 species